GACGAACGCUGGCGGCGUGCUUAACACAUGCAAGUCGAACGGAAAGGCCCUGCUUUUGUGGGGUGCUCGAGUGGCGAACGGGUGAGUAACACGUGAGUAACCUGCCCUUGACUUUGGGAUAACUUCAGGAAACUGGGGCUAAUACCGGAUAGGAGCUCCUGCUGCAUGGUGGGGGUUGGAAAGUUUCGGCGGUUGGGGAUGGACUCGCGGCUUAUCAGCUUGUUGGUGGGGUAGUGGCUUACCAAGGCUUUGACGGGUAGCCGGCCUGAGAGGGUGACCGGCCCCAUGGGGCUGCGGUUACGGCCAGGACUCCACCGGGAGGCAGCGGGGGGAAUUUUGCCCCAUGGGGCGGAGCCCGGAGGCAGCAACCCCGGGUCCGGGAUGCCGGCUUUCGGGUGUUAAACCGCUUUCGCCUGUGACGAGGCGUGAUGGCGGUAAUUGGUUAAAAAGGCACGGCCUACUUCCUG
rnacentral:rRNA from 1 species